CCACAUGCCAGCUCAAAAACGAGCUUUGAGUCCUUUCACUAAAACGUACAGAUCUUGAGCUGGGAGUACUGAGAGUGACGUCAUUAAGGAGGACAGCGUCGGGCUGAGCUCUGAUGCUCAAUUCUCAAAAAAAUUACUUCUAUCUCUAGACCUGCCUUUCCCAAGUGAAUCUUGAUAACCUUCAAGAGCCAGGUGAGAAGAGGGCCGUGCUGUACUAGGAGAGGCCACAUGGACAUAUGCCAGUGUGCUAUGGCAAAUGCCACAAAGUCCACGGGUCUGGCAGCGAUGGGGAAAUGAAGAUGAAAAACUUCUUGGAGCCCAGCUAACGGGAAAGAACUCCCCAUUUCACCUUCCUGAGCAGCGGAACCCGUGGCUCAGAAACAGCGACUGCCCAUGAAAAGUCGAGUGGCAAAUACAUUCCACGGCUUAUUUGUGGAGGGAAAUGUUCUCUACCUUUUGACCUUUCGGAUAGCUGGG